rnacentral:rRNA from 1 species
GAUGAACGCUGGCGGCGUGCUUAACACAUGCAAGUCGAACGGAAAGGCCCAAGCUUGCUUGGGUACUCGAGUGGCGAACGGGUGAGCAACACGUGGGUGAUCUGCCCUGCACUUCGGGAUAAGCCUGGGAAACUGGGUCUAAUACCGGAUAGGACCACAUUUUGGAUGGUGUGGUGGAGAGAUUUUCGGUGGGGGAUGAGCGCGCGGCCUAUCAGCUUGUUGGUGGGGUAAUGGCCUACCAAGGCGUCGACGGGUAGCCGGCCUGAGAGGGUGUACGGCCACAUUGGGACUGAGAUACGGCCCAGACUCCUACGGGAGGCAGCAGUGGGGAAUAUUGCACAAUGGGCGGAAGCCUGAUGCAGCGACGCCGCGUGGGGGAUGACGGCCUUCGGGUUGUAAACUCCUUUCGCUAGGGACGAAGCGCAAGUGACGGUACCUGGAGAAGAAGCACCGGCUAACUACGUG